rnacentral:rRNA from 1 species
AUUCCAGCUUCAGUAGCGUAUAUUAAAGUUGUUGCAGUUAAAAAGCUCGUAGUCGCAUUUCUGGCGAGAGGAAUUGGUCCGACAUUUAUUGUGGGUACUCGAUUCUCUCUCGCCAUCCUUGAGUGGUCCGUUCUGGCAUUUAGUUGUCGGAGCGUCAGCCGCUCAUCGUUUACUGUGAGAAAAUUAGAGUGUUCAAAGCAGGCUUAUGCCGUUGAAUAUAUUAGCAUGGAAUAAUAAGAUAGGACCUCGGUGCUAUUUUGUUGGUUUGCGCACAGAGGUAAUGAUGAACAGGGACAGUUGGGGGUAUUUGUAUUUCGUUGUCAGAGGUGAAAUUCUUAGAUUUACGAAAGACAAACUACUGCGAAAGCAUUUACCAAGGAUGUCUUCAUUA